AAACAUGUGCAAAGUGCUGAGUUCAAUUAGUAAAAGUGGGCGUAGGAAAAUUUUGUAAUUAUUAUAAUAUUUUAUUAAAUUUUCUGCUUUGGUGUUCUAAGCAUUUUUCUAUAAAUAGGGUGCUUAGGUUAAAAUUAAAAAUUACACCAGAAACUGAAGUUUUCUCUCUCUUUAUCUCUCUAUAUAUUGAGCGUAUUCUUGUGAGUAUUUUGAUACUUUGAGUAUUUUGAUACUUUGAGUAUUGCUACACGGUGUAAGUUUCUUCAGCACUUUAUUCAGUAGUCCAGCCAGAAGUACUAUUCUUUCGAGGUAAGGGAUAUUAUUAUUUUUAAAAUGAUAUUAUUUUCUUCAAUAUCAUUAUGUCG
rnacentral:lncRNA from 1 species